CCCUUAGAUGUUCUGGGCAGCACGCGCGCUACAAUGGUCUUCGCAAACGGAUGCAUUCUCGAAGGAGAAUGCCAAUCUUGGAAUCUAUGCCUUGGUCGGGACAGUUGCUUGCAAUUUUUCGACUCGAACCAGGAAUUCCUUGUAAUCGUGAUUCAUCACAUCACGAUGAAUACGUCCCUGCCCUUUGUACACACCGCCCGUCGCUCCUACCGAUUGAAUGUUCCGAUGAAUACCAUGGAUUGAGAGUCUGAAUGGGUUCGCCUAUUUUUGCCUCUCGAGAAGUGGAGUAAAUCUUAGCAUUUAGAGGAAGGAGAAGUCGUAACA
rnacentral:rRNA from 1 species